rnacentral:rRNA from 1 species
CCGUAGCCUGGUAGCGGGGGAUAACUAUGGAAACGAUAGCUAAUACCGCAUAACAGUAGAUAUCGCAUGAUAGCUGCUUGAAAGGUGCAACUGCACCACUACCAGAUGGACCUGCGUUGUAUUAGCUAGUUGGUGAGGUAACGGCUCACCAAGGCAACGAUACAUAGCCGACCUGAGAGGGUGAUCGGCCACACUGGGACUGAGACACGGCCCAG